AUGCUUCCGGACGCUGCUCCCGGGGACGACCCCGCGGCCGGAUCAGCGGAGGCGGCGGAGAAGGUGAGGGUGAAGGUGCUGUUCUUCGCCCGCGCGCGGGAUCUGACGGGCGUCGCGGAGGCCUCCGUGGAGGUGCCCUCCGGGAGCACCGCGGGGGAGUGCCUCGGCCGGGUGCUGGCCUCGUUCCCCAAGCUGGACGAGAUCCGCCGCUCCAUGGUGCUCGCGCUCAACGAGGAGUACGCGCCCGAGUCCGCCCCCGUCGCCGACGGGGACGAGCUCGCCAUCAUCCCGCCAAUCAGCGGCGGCUGA
rnacentral:rRNA from 1 species